CUGACGACGGGUGUGAGCAGCAGCGAGCAGGUUCUUUCGGCAAGCGACAGAUUACGGCAGUGGUCUACAGCAGGGAACGGCAAUUGCCACGGCACAGGACUUGCUACACAGCAGAUGACUUCGCAACAGUUCGGCAACACCUCCGCCGUCCUCUGGGCCUGACCUCAGCUGGGUCUGACCUCCUUCGGCAACACCUCCGCUGCGCCUGAACUUGACGCUACAGACGCUUUCCGGCCACAGCGACCCCGGGUCAGAAGACUUCGUCACCGACGCUUGCCAAACGCCAGUCCGUGUGGCUGGCUGUGGUCUUUCCGAUGGCAUCCUGCACUUUGCAGAUGCAUGAUAAGGUGGGAGUGUGGCGAUAAAAAGAUGUUAUCGCUGAUAGCCUUCUUUUGACGUUUGUUAGUUUAUCCCUUAUUUCCUAACCCAGGCAGCACAAUGUACUGAAAGUCGAGUGCAAUAGGGGUGGACGGGUACGUGGAAGGCCUUGAAUAGACUGGUGAAACUAAAGUACAUUGAUAAGACUCAUACCGUCCACCCCUAUUGCACUCGACUUUCGGUACAUUGUGCUGCUUGGGAAUUCUUUUCUUUUAUUGAAUUCUUUUUUUAUUUUCUUGCUUGGCACUCAGCAAAGAGAGCCGCCGUCCCGUUUGGCAGACCUUUCCCCGGGUUUUCUUUUUUUCGUCUAAUAAAUAUAUGCCCCACCUUGCACGCCACCACCUUUUUUCACUAAGAGGAAACCUGAAGCUUGUUUAAGCCAUAGCGCGGAAAAGAAAUGCAUCAUGACGACUGUUGCUGAUAGAUUACGACCCAGUGGUCUUCUGCAGGGAGCGGCGGUGUAUGCGAAUAAACAUGCUGUUGUUGGUUGGA